rnacentral:rRNA from 1 species
CCUACGGGGGGCAGCAGUGAGGAAUAUUGGUCAAUGGGCGCAAGCCUGACCCAGCAACGCCGCGUGAAGGAAGAAGGCCCUCGGGUUGUAAACUUCUUUUGUCAGGGACGAAACAAAUGACGGUACCUGACGAAUAAGCCACGGCUAACUACGUGCCAGCAGCCGCGGUAAUACGUAGGUGGCAAGCGUUAUCCGGAUUUACUGGGUGUAAAGGGCGUGUAGGCGGGAGAGCAAGUCAGAUGUGAAAUUCCAGGGCUCAACCCUGGAACUGCAUUUGAAACUGUUUUUCUUGAGUGAGGGGGAGGCAGGCGGAAUUCCGUGUGUAGCGGUGAAAUGCGUAGAUAGACGGAGGAACACCAGUGGCGAAGGCGGCCUGCUGGACAUUAACUGACGCUGAGGCGCGAAAGCGUGGGGAGCAAACAGGAUUAGAUACCCUUGUAGUC